AAUAAUUUUCGUUGUUUUCACAGUUUUUUACUGUUUUUCUCGACAGUUUCUUACUGUAUAAGUUGUUUACAGUUUGUUACUAUAGAUUUGUUGUUUCCACAGUAUUUUAAUGUAUUUUCAACAGUUUUUUACUGCAUAAGCUUUGUACAGUAGGCUACUGUAGUUUUCCAAUGCAUUAUGGGAAAUAUUACUCUGAAUACAGUAUUACCAACCAACUGCAAAACACAAUGACAAACGUCUAUUUAUAUCUUAAAUGCUUAAUUUUUUGUGAGAUAUUUGGUUUAAUGUCUGUUUUCACAUCAGAUGCUCGGUGUGUUCCUUUAACAUAAAUCAGGUGCCUUUUCUGAGGCUUUAAUGAAAUCACCAGCCAAUUCAAUAGACAUACCAUCAGUUCUUAAUAUUGUUGCCUCUGUGUCACAAAAUGUAUUUUUAAGAUUAGUUUAGGCGAUAAUAUAUAUAUGUAUAAUCUUCAAAUAGCAGUCGAUUAGUUAAAAAAGCGCUAAUUUUAGAAUUUGAUUAAACAAAUGCGGAGGGUUCAGGCGCGAGUCGGUCACGUGAUGUGCUCCUCAGUUCUGUCAGUAGGGGGAGUGGGAGAACGCGUGUGUGUCGUCGUAUCUGUUCUGCUCAUCUAGCGCGUAUUUCUUUAUUAAUAUCUGCUGGGUGAAUAUUAAUACGUAUAUGCUAACAUUAAUUUUGUGACCACAAAAUGACAGCGAGCUAUUAUACGAGAUAUUGUGUCGUCGUGUUUGUCUUCACUCACUUCAUCAUUAUCUGGUAAGUGCUAUAUGCAAUAUCUGGUAUGAGACUUUAUUGGCACUAAAGGGUUCUUUCGGCUAAAUUUUACUUAAUUUCUGUCAUAACAGCAAACAACUUCUGCAACUACACAAUGAUUGUCUGCCUGUGUGCAAAAGAAAGCACGUUCACUGUGUAAAACCCCGCGCAGGGCAUUUUCAAAUUAACGGUCAGGGCGAGUCUGAGCUUAUCGUGUUGUGUUGACAGAGACUUUGCUGAGUGUAUGUAAAUCUGGGCUACAGUCCACGACAAAUUUUCUACGGUAGAUUUACGCCUGCAUGCUGGUCCUUUCGUCUAUCGCGGGGAUAUCAUCACUUCAGCGGACAUCGCACUGAAGAGAUCCUGUGCUUGCGUGGCGGUGUGUUUGUGUGCUCACUUGGAUUGAGACCAGCAGUGCUUUUUUAAAAGUGGAUUCUUUAUGACAUCAAGAUGUGGUUUGGGAAGGACCUUCAUCUAAAUCUGAAGACAGGACAUACUGGCUCAAAAAGCGUUUGGUCAGGAACUGCCUAUACACUUGAAAAAUGCACAGAACUGGAACAGCACAUCAGUUGGGAGCACAUUAACAAGGAUGAAAUUUAUCCAAUAAUUAUUUUAAUAUUUAUAGGUAAGCAACUACUUGCUGAGUGUAUUUAAUGAGUGUGUAUUAAUCUCUUACAGCUCCCAUACUUAGUACAGUAUAUUUUAAUCAGUGUGGCAAUAACUUGUGUUUUAUUUUUAUGUUUACACAGGUGUUUCUGAUAUGGAGAAAAACCCAGCACUGCUCAUUUUAUUUCUUCAUCUUGAGAAUACAGCAAGUUUACCUUUUGUCUGGAAAAUGAUUCAGCAAAGCUAACACCAACAACAAUUUUUCAUGGCACUUUAAACCACCUUGAUGUGAGGAGCCAGCAUCAGAAUGGAUGGUGUCAAUAUCCUGAAAGUGGAGGUAACAGAGGUGGAUCUCGAGACUUGGCCAUGUUCUAGAUUAUAACUGGAUUAUCACAAGUGCUGUCGCCGCUGCUGUAAAUGACGCCCCCACCACCUACACCAGGUGUAGGAAAUGUCGGUCCUGGAGUGCCGUUGUCCUGCAGAGUUUUGCUCCAGCUCUAAACAAACACACCUGAACAACUAGAUCUGAAGAGUCACCAGAAAACUACAGGUAGGCGAGGUUUUAUCAGGGUUGGAAAUGAAAUCUGCAGGAUUUCGGCACUCCAGGACCGACGUUGCCUACUACUGACCUACACCUUCAUCCUGCCACCACCACCCAUACUACCUACAAAAAACUGUAUUGUAAUUAUGCUUUUCACUGUAUUGUAUGAUGUGGUUUUCUCAUUUAGGGUAACUACACUAUGGCAACAAUUGGAUACAUUGAUUGCUGACUGAUUUUGUUAUUUUUUCUUUACUUUUUGUUUAAAAUCUAAUCAUUUUUUUGUUAUUUUUGUUAAUAUUGUUACAAAUAUACAGUUAAAAACUGCACAAUAAAUUGUCUGCUUUUAAAGA